rnacentral:rRNA from 1 species
GAUGAACGCUGGCGGCGUGCCUAAUACAUGCAAGUCGAGCGAACAGACGAGGAGCUUGCUCCUCUGACGUUAGCGGCGGACGGGUGAGUAACACGUGGAUAACCUACCUAUAAGACUGGGAUAACUUCGGGAAUCCGGAGCUAAUACCGGAUAAUAUAUUGAACCGCAUGGUUCAAUAGUGAAAGACGGUUUUGCUGUCACUUAUAGAUGGAUCCGCGCCGCAUUAGCUAGUUGGUAAGGUAACGGCUUACCAAGGCAACGAUGCGUAGCCGACCUGAGAGGGUGAUCGGCCACACUGGAACUGAGACACGGUCCAGACUCCUACGGGAGGCAGCAGUAGGGAAUCUUCCGCAAUGGGCGAAAGCCUGACGGAGCAACGCCGCGUGAGUGAUGAAGGUCUUCGGAUCGUAAAACUCUGUUAUUAGGGAAGGACAAAUGUGUAAGUAACUAUGCACGUCUUGACGGUACCUAAUCAGAAAGCCACGGCUAACUACGUG